UACGAAGGGGGCGGGCGUUGUUCGGAUUUACUGGGCGUAAAGGGCGCGUAGGCGGCCCUCCUAGUCGCGUGUGAAAGCCCCGGGCUCAACCUGGGAAUUGCGCGCGAAACGGGGGGGCUUGAGUUCGGGAGAGGAGCGUGGAAUUCCCAGUGUAGAGGUGAAAUGCGUAGAUAUCGAGAGGAACACCUGCGGCGAAGGCGGGUUGCUGGGCUGAUACUGACGCUGAGGCGCGAAAGCCAGGGGAGCGAACGGG
rnacentral:rRNA from 1 species